rnacentral:miRNA from 14 species
GUUUUGGUGAAAAACAUGUAUAUGUAUACACAUAUAUAUAUAUAUAUGCAAAUAUAUAUAUAUACACACAUAUAUAUAUAUACAUACAUACACACACACAUAUAUAUACCUAUAUAUACA